CAUGGGGCGCAGACAGAAGAAAGCGAAGUGGAAACUCCGACCACUCAUCAUCCUCAUCCAGUCACCUAAAGCACAGCUCUCCUCUGACCGCAACUAAACGUGAGAAGAUUUUCAGCUCCCCCACCAAGUGAAUGGUUCCUUUUAGAAAAAACAAGUCUUGGCUCCAAGUAAGCUGAAAGCCCCGAAAAAGUCCGUGGCAUUGAAUGAAGGAAUAACGGGUGCUCUACAAACUGCAAGUGCUGCCUGAAUCAAAAAAAUCGGUGCAAGGAGUUUGGAUCAAUAACGUCCGGAGAGACAUACAAAAUCAAAACCAUGAUGUCAUGAAUGUAUCUAACCCUGUUUUAAAGCUGUUAAUUGUUCCUGCUGUGACCAGUUCCUGAGGUAGACCGUUCCAGCACGUAGUGCACCUUGACCCCUGACCUCUUUAUUUGGCACCAGAAAUGACUGUAUUUAAAAGAGCCUUUUCAUGACAAACAUCAGACAGCAUCUUUCUGCAAUUGAAAAAGGGAGAAGUUACUUCCGAAACACGUUCUGCUUACUGUCAGUCUGCUUUUUAUAAUCUUAUUUUAAUGUGUCAAUAAAAAUUAUUUGAUACAGAAAAUUCUGGACUUUUGCCUGAAAGUGAUCGCUA